GACGAACGCUGGCGGCGUGCUUAACACAUGCAAGUCGAACGGAAAGGCCCUGCUUUUGUGGGGUGCUCGAGUGGCGAACGGGUGAGUAACACGAGAGUAACCUGCCCUUGACUUUGGGAUAACUUCAGGAAACUGGGGCUAAUACCGGAUAGGAGCUCCUGCUGCAUGGUGGGGGUUGGAAAGUUUCGGCGGUUGGGGAUGGACUCGCGGCUUAUCAGCUUGUUGGUGGGGUAGUGGCUUACCAAGGCUUUGACGGGUAGCCGGCCUGAGAGGGUGACCGGCCACAUGGGGACUGAGAUACGGCCCAGACUCCUACGGGAGGCAGCAGUGGGGAAUAUUGCACAAUGGGCGGAAGCCUGAUGCAGCAACGCCGCGUGCGGGAUGACGGCCUUCGGGUUGUAAACCGCUUUCGCCUGUGACGAAGCGUGAGUGACGGUAAUGGGUAAAGAAGCACCGGCUAACUACGUG
rnacentral:rRNA from 1 species